rnacentral:rRNA from 1 species
GAUGAACGCUGGCGGCGUGCCUAAUACAUGCAAGUCGAGCGAACAGAUGAGGAGCUUGCUCCUCUGACGUUAGCGGCGGACGGGUGAGUAACACGUGGAUAACCUACCUAUAGGACUGGGAUAACUUCGGGAAACCGGAGCUAAUACCGGAUAAUAUAUUGAACCGCAUGGUUCAAUAGUGAAAGACGGUUUUGCUGUCACUUAUAGAUGGAUCCGCGCCGCAUUAGCUAGUUGGUAAGGUAACGGCUUACCAAGGCAACGAUGCGUAGCCGACCUGAGAGGGUGAUCGGCCACACUGGAACUGAGACACGGUCCAGACUCCUACGGGAGGCAGCAGUAGGGAAUCUUCCGCAAUGGGCGAAAGCCUGACGGAGCAACGCCGCGUGAGUGAUGAAGGUCUUCGGACCGUAAAACUCUGUUAUUAGGGAAGAACAAAUGUGUAAGUAACUAUGCACGUCUUGACGGUACCUAAUCAGAAAGCCACGGCUAACUACGUG